rnacentral:rRNA from 1 species
AGUCUGGUGCCAGCAGCCGCGGUAAUUCCAGCUCCAAUAGCGUAUCUUAAAGUUGUUGCAGUUAAAAAGCUCGUAGUCGGAUUUUGGGAGUGUGAGCGGACGGUCCAUCGAAACGAUGUGUACCUUCGGUCCACUUCUUUGCUUCGCACAGCAUGCCGUGGCCAUUGAUUUGGUGGCGGUGUUAAUGCGUGCGAUCAUUUACUUUGAAAAAAUUAGAGUGUUCAAAGCAGGCGAGUUACGGCCGUUGAAUAGUUCAGCAUGGGAUAAUGGAAUAGGACUUUCGUCUUAUUGCGUUGGUUUUCGAGACGAAGGUAAUGAUUAACAGGGACAGUUGGGGAUAUCAGUAUUUAAUUGUCAGAGGUGAAAUUCUUGGAUUUAUGAAAGACUAACUACUGCGAAAGCAUUUAUCAAGGAUGUUUUCAUUGAUCAAGAACGAAAGUUAGGGGAUCGAAGAUGAUCAGAUACCGUCGUAGUCCUAACCGUAAACUAUGCCGGCCAGGGAUUCGGAGACGUUACAAUUGGAAUGACUCCCCGAGCACCUUACAAGAAAUCAUAAGCUUUUGGGUUCUGGGGGGAGUAUGGUCGCAAGGCUGAAACUUAAAGGAAUUGACGGAAGGGCACCACCAGGAGUGGAGCUUGCGGCUUAAUUUGACCCAACACGGGAAAACUCACCAGGUCCAGACACAAGAAGGAUUGACAGAUUGAGAGCUCUUUCUUGAUUUUGUGGGUGGUGGUGCAUGGCCGUUCUUAGUUGGUGGAGUGAUUUGUCUGGUUAAUUCCGUUAACGAACGAGACCUUAACCUGCUAAAUAGUUACGCGAACCGUCUGCUGUGGGUUGAAGCCGCUAGUGCGUACGGUCCUAGCGGACCGUGCCACGGGCGGUGAAUGCCCUGAUGCGUUUGUGGCAACACUUCUUAGAGGGACUAUUCGUAUCUAGCGAAUGGAAGUUUGAGGCAAUAACAGGUCUGUAAUGCCCUUAGAUGUCCUGGGCUGCACGCGUGCUACACUGAUGAAAUCAACGAGUCCACAACCUUGGCCGGAAGGUCUGGGUAAUCUUCUGAAAUUUCAUCGUGAUGGGGAUAGAUCAUUGGAAUUAUUGAUCUUCAACGAGGAAUUCCUAGUAAGCGCAAGUCAUCAGCUUGCGUUGAUUACGUCCCUGCCCUUUGUACACACCGCCCGUCGCUCCUACCGAUGAAUGUUCCGGUGAGAACUUGGGAUUGUGACAU